GGAGCGGUGGCCGAGCGGUCGAAGGCAGUGGUCUUGAAAACCACCGUGCGUGAAAGCGUACCGUGGGUUCGAAUCCCACCCGCUCCGCCA
rnacentral:tRNA from 3 species